rnacentral:lncRNA from 10 species
UGGCAAUGGCUUCUCACGUUCUCUGUGGCCAGACUGUGCUCAACACUCCAACCAUUAUCUCGUUUACCUCAGAAACGUCCCUAAGCUGCGGGCAGGGGCAGUGUCGUGGUGACCGUUCCUCCCUUUUCCAGGCGACUAACCUGGGGUUCCAGAGGUCGGCCCUUCUUUGUCCUGGUGGACGGCCUAAGGCCGAGGUGUCCGACCCGGGACCGAGUGUCCCUGUCACAGGAGACUGGCUGACACCUGCAUGCAGUUUAUUCCAGCCAAGACAGCCACGCCAAAGGACCACGCCGACGGGAGGAGAGAAAGGCAUCAUCACAUUUUAUGAAUGACAGAUGGCUUUUACCACACCUUUGCAUGAUCGCUUAUGGUAAUAGGACUGCGGUGCCCUGAGACGUGGGGAUCUGCGUGAGUGCCCCCGGCAAAGUCUGCUCUUCCGGCCUCGAAUCUGGAUCCCAGGACAGAGAGAAGCAGCAGGUUGUGAUGUCAGUAGGAACUUGCAGACCAGGACAGCUGAGCGCUCACCGACGGCUCGCAGGACACCCUCAGUCACCGCCGCGCCCAUCAGAAGAAACAGCAGGAACCAGACAUUGCUCUGCCUGCAGAAAUCACAUCUGAAAAUCAACUCUGCUUUGCUCCAAGCGACGGAGCUUUUUCAUAAGUAUAAAAAACAGCUAACUGGAUAAAAACACCUUUCCUGGGGACCUGAGUGCUGCAAUUCAAAGGGGCUGGCAGUGUGAGGCUGGAGAAGGGCUCCUGCAAGGCUCUUAGCUGGGCAGGCCGAGGGAGGCCCCUCUCGGUGAGCACGAAAUCAGGGAUGCCCCGGGCCGGUUAGGGAUGGGGCCUGGACACCGUGAGAUUUCCAGCAGGCUACACCUGGGGCUGCAGCCGGGGCAGCCCCCACAGAAUACUCAGAGGCAGCGGGAAGUGCGGGCUGGUGACGAGAGUGGGAACACUGCCCCACACGCAGCCGCCUCGGUGCCACCUGGCGGACAAGCCGCCCCUGUCCCCCGCUUGGCCUCUCCACAUGGCACAUUUGCCCCUGGCAGUGCCCAGCCCCAGGUCCGGGUGACUGGGGACAAAGAAUACCGAUGGAAAAACAAGCUAACGAGCUCCUCCUAGGGAAGAGGCCCGCGCCAGGGAGGAGGCGGCCGUCUGGGCGGAGCUUCCCGAUAGCCAGGCCCGGGCGGUGCCAGGACACUCACCUCAGGUCUCACCUGCAGAGCAUCCACGAGUCACUCACGCUGGGCCAGGCACAGGCUGUGCACACAGAGGGCAGAUCCAGACCACACGAGAGCAUAGGUGCCCACGGGUGUGCAGGGAUUGUGGGGGGAA